UUAUGAUGAGGUGGCUCGGUAC
rnacentral:siRNA from 1 species